AUUGAACGCUGGCGGCAGGCCUAACACAUGCAAGUCGAACGAGUCGCGGACGGGUGCGUAAUGUCUCGGAAACUUCCUGGUGGAGGGGGUUCACUAAUGGACACGGUUACUACUACCGCCUACCAUCGGAUGUGCCGAGAUGGGUUUAGCUUGUUGGUGGGGUAACGGCUCACCAAGGGGACGAACCCUAGCUGGUCUGAGAGGAUGACCAGCCACACUGGAACUGAGACACGGUCCAGACUCCUACGGGAGGCAGCAGUGGGGAAUAUUGCACAAUGGGCGCAAGCCUGAUGCAGCCAUGCCGCGUGUAUGAAGAAGGCCUUCGGGUUGUAAAGUACUUUCAGUGGGGAGGCGUUACCAGCAGAAGAAGCACCGGCUAACUCCGUGCCAGCAGCCGCGGUAAUAC
rnacentral:rRNA from 1 species